rnacentral:rRNA from 1 species
UACGGGGGAUGCAAGCGUUAUCCGGAUUUAUUGGGUUUAAAGGGUGCGUAGGCUGUGAGGUAAGUCAGCGGUGAAAUGCCCCCGCUCAACGGGGUGAAGUGCCAUUGAUACUGCCUUGCUGGAAUGCGGAUGCCGUGGGAGGAAUGUGUGGUGUAGUGGUGAAAUGCAUAGAUAUCACACAGAACACCGAUUGCGAAGGCAUCUCACGAAUCCGCUAUUGACGCUGAUGCACGAAAGCGUGGGUAUCAAACAGG